rnacentral:rRNA from 1 species
GAUGAACGCUGGCGGCGUGCCUAAUACAUGCAAGUCGAGCGGACAGACGAGGAGCUUUCUCCUCUUACGUUACCGGCGGACGGGUGAGUAACACGUGGAUAACCUACCUUUAAGACUGACAUCACUUCGGGGAACCUGAGCUCAUACCGGAUAAUAUAUUGAACCGCAUGGUUCUUUAGUGAACGCCGUAUUUGCUGUCCCUUAUUGGUGUUACCGCGCCGCUGUAGCUAGUUGGUAAGUUAACGGCUUACCAAGGCAACGAUGCGUAGCCGACCUGAGAGGAUGAUCGGCCACACUGGAACUGAGACACGGUCCAGACUUCUACGGGAGGCAGCAGUGGGGAAUCUUCGGCAAUGGGCGAAAGCCUGACGGAGCAAUGCCGCGUGAGUGAAGAAGGUCUUCGGAUCGUAAAACUCUGUUAUUAGGGAAGAACAAAUGUAAAAGUAACUAUGCACGUCUUGACGGUACCUAAUCAGAAAGCCACGGCUAACUACGUG